rnacentral:rRNA from 1 species
UACGUAGGGAGCAAGCGUUGUCCGGAAUCAUUGGGCGUAAAGAGCGCGUAGGUGGCUGCAUAAGUCCGUUGUGAAAGUCAAAGGCUCAACCUUUGAAAGCCGAUGGAUACUGUGGAGCUAGAGUACGGAAGAGGCGAGUGGAAUUCCCGGUGUAGUGGUGAAAUGCGUAGAUAUCGGGAGGAACACCAGUGGCGAAGGCGACUUCCUGGCCUGUUCUUGACGCUGAGGCGCGAAAGCUAGGGGAGCAAACGGG